AAUGCUCUUAUACAGGGUAUACCUUUCUUUUUAUUCUUUCACAACUCUACCCUAUACCACAUUACACUUUGUGGCUUGUUCCACACAGUGGGGAAUUGUUCCAUUACAACCAUAUAUCUGGUAUUAGUUCUCCUGCAAGUAUUCUACCCACUUAUUGUUUAUUGUUCAGACAAAUAAAUAAAUAAAAUAACAUAUUGAUUAGAUUAUACCCAUAGGAUAUUAUUGUUGAGUCAUGAUUUUACUUUUCCUUUUCAUAAUCUUGACUGUUGUAAGGGCUAAAUGCUUCAGCAAACCAGUUCUUCUUCCUCCAUGAGUUCCAUCCCAUCUCUUCAAAUAUUCCAAUUAACCAGUCCAUUAUUCCUGUCCGCCAAGACUUUUCCAAAAAGAAACCUAAUGGCUAUUUUCUCCAAAAUUGGCAUUGUAGGAGCUGGCAUUAGCGGUAUAGCUGCUGUUAAACAGCUCUCGGAAUACAACCCAGUGGUUUUUGAGGCCUCCAAC
rnacentral:lncRNA from 1 species